AAACCUGAUGUCUCUGGAUUAAGUUUAGAAGUGUGAACAACAUGGAUGAUGUCAUGGUGGGAGUCUGCUAUAGACCACCCGACCAGGGGGAUGAGGUGGACGAGGCUUUCUUCCGGCAACUCACGGAAGUUACUAGAUCGCAGGCCCCGGUUCUCAUGGGAGACUUCAAUCAUCCUGAUAUCUCCUG